UCCCUGGAGGACUAGUGGUUAGGCCACAGCACUCUCACUGCUGCGGCCCGGGUACAAUUCCCGGUCAGGGAA
rnacentral:tRNA from 1 species